CUGUGCUUUGAUGGAGCUCUUACAUAACGCAACUUACCGUCCAAAAUGUAGGUAGGUCGUCCAGCGCUCAUCCAGCCAUGUAACACAGCGGCGGUGCGCAUGCGCGCGUCUUUUUGUCCCCCCUCCUCCCCUCCCAUCUUCCAUCCCAGUCCGCCUAUAGGUUCGGCGCGAAGGUAAAAGGGGGAAAAUAGGAGGCUUUAUAAACAUCCACAUUGAUCUCUCUGCCUUGCUGCCCGUUUCACACCUUUCAGUCUUUUUGAGUUUUUUUUCCCCAGCAGCGCCUAAAAUGCCAAGCAAGAGGAAGAAGAACAAGCGUCGCAUGAGGAGGGUGCAAGCCCAGAGGAGAGCACUUGAGGAUCAGCAUGCAGCCAAUCCACCAAUCAAAGCCAGCUCAGGGAUUGCCAUUAGUGCGCCCCCUACAGCAACGCCCAAAAAAGCAGCUAAAAUUUCACCACCCACUCGAGAAAAGCCCCCACAGGCCAUUCCCAUCUCUGCCCCUGCAGUGGAACCUCCAAAAUUUGAACCACAGCCUGUUGUGAAAGAAGAAGCAGCAGAGGCCUUCGUAGUUGAGGUAGCUGCAGCAGGUGGUGUGCUGUUGGAGCAGGCUACUGUGGACGUGAAAUCCAGAGUGGGGGAUGAAGUCGAAGGUCCAGCACGUGUCGCCAAAGAAGCACCAGCUGAAAGUAUUCCUCCAGCAGAGCCAUCUACGGUUGAAGCCGAUCUGGCGAAGGAGGCUGAGGUUCCUGUUUCUGAAGCAGAGCCCGUCUCUGAGGUUACAGCCCCAGAUGAGGCUUCAGUGGUGGCUGCUGUAGAAGCUGAAACAGAAGCCAAUGAAGACACACAGACAGAGAUGAGUCAGACACAGGACGUCUGUGAGGCAGACUCUCAGAAAGAUGUGACCCUGGCAGAAGAAGACACUGAGACCAAGGAGGAACUAGAAGUGUCCGUCGCUGAAGAGGUAACCGUAUCAGAGUCGGUAAAGGAACAAGCUGAAGAACCAGAGGUAGAAGAUCUCACCAGUGACCAAAGUCCUGCUGAAGUAGAACUUGCAGCAGAAAAAACCGAAUCUGAUACUGGAUCAGAGGUGGAGGUUGUCAUAGAAACACUGGAUCCUGCAGAGCCACCUGAGGAUGGGGAGGAAAAACUGGAAGACUCAGCUGCACUCGGUGUCCAGCCUGUUGCAGCCAUAGAGGAUGCUGUUGGCUCUCCUGUGGAAAUCCCAGCAGUGCUAAAUACCAUCACUGAAGCUCCUCUGGGUGAAGCUGAGCCUCCUGUUGUUGAACAUGCAGAGGGAACUGCUGACCUGCUGCUCCAAAAAUUAGCUGCUACUGAAUCUGUGUCAACAGCAAAGGAUGUUUCGACAUCUCCUGUUGUGCAGCAGGAAGCUGAGGGAACAGGAGACGCUUUUAUCACCCAAUCAGAAUCAACGGAUGCUACUCCUGUAGAUCCUGAAACAGUUUCUGCUGCUCCUGCAGGGGAGAUUGCUGCCGCCAACCAAAAGUGUCUGGGUGUGCUGACAGACGAAGCAAAAUCCGGAGGCUGUGAUGUUCCAUGUCAGGGACCGCUUCCUGUUGAGGCUGUGCAGCUCGGUGGAGUGGAGCUGUCAGUGGAAAUAACACAGAAUGGAAACAUUGUUCCUGAGGUCUCCAUUGAGGGUUAAAAGCCAAGGCACACCGCUCAGACGACCUUUUUCUGUGUGUAAGACUCUAAAAAUUCCCGUUGGAGGACUCAAAGCUUUCCAGGGAGUCAACCAGACCUUUUCAUUUUUUAAGGCUUAAGUCAGAACAGGCAGGAAAUCGAAGUGGGCAUCCACACUUUGAAGUGCCUUUUCCUGUCCUGUACUCGGCUGAAACAUCAAACCAGAUGUGAACAUGCAGGAACGGCUUCUCUCACGACAGCAGCUGAGACCUUUGAAAAAAAAAAAAAAAAAAAAAAAAGCAUCUUUGGUUCUUCUAAAUACUUUGCUAUGCAACAAAAUCACGUAUAAAUGAGUUUGACUGUAGUAGUUCAGGAGGCGGUGCUGAAGGCAUGACAAUCAGCAACAGAAAUAUUUUUGCAUCUUCUGACUCAGAAUAUUUUUCUCCACAGUGCAUAGACUUUAUGCAUAUCAGUAGACUUGUAGCAUUGAUAACUGGGUCUGUAGUUUGUUUAUUGGACAGAGUUGUGUUGUUUUUUUUUUUGCUGUUUUUUGAAAGUCACUCGUUUAGCUUACCACUCUUUUCAAAACAUAAACCUUCCAAUAACAUUAAAACUGGGGUAACUUUUGUCUCGUUCUAUACUGUCAAGACAGUACAGAAUGAGUGUGAAAAAAACAGUAAUGUUUUAAGAUUUGUUCUUAACUAAACCAUCACUAUAGUCGUGUUUCAUGACUGCACAUGGUGCUUUACUAAGGGUUUGGUGAAGCUCCACCUCCCACCUCAAUUUUUUGCAGUCGUUUACAGCAGGUUCUGUGUAAACAACGGCCAAAAGUCAACGAUUUAAAGCAGAACUUCACCUUGGUGUAUGCCACUAUUGAACUAGCUGUUAGCUUUAGCUUUAGCUUUAGAGCAACUAAUUUGGGUUUACUCUAAAGAAAAUGGCAAAAGAAUCGUCUUCUUUGGGCAAUUCAUUUGCUGCUCAUGUCCUUUAACAGAACCAUACUUCAAAAAUUCACAAAUCCAUUUCCUUUUCUGUACCAUUGUCCACUGUCUUGACAAAGUGCCACUGUUAAUGUUACAAAGCUACAUUGUAAAGAGCAAGCUUUGAUGUUCAACAGAAUAUUGAAUAUCAAAAUGAAUUUCAUAGUUCAUUCUGUACACACAGAGUAAUGCAUACACGAUUCUGAGUUACUGUUGGACUGUCUUGACCUGUGAAAUAAAGUUCUAACUCAGUGAUGUGA